GGUGAUGUAGUGUAAUGGUAUCACAACACGUUGUGGAUUCGAGCCCUCGCCGGCUUCGAUCAAGCAACGCCGUGUUAAUCUGAGUUCGAUUCUCAGCAUCGCCA